GGCAGCAGCGCGCCUCCUACGGGAGGCAGCAGUGGGGAAUAUUGCACAAUGGGCGCAAGCCUGAUGCAGCCAUGCCGCGUGUAUGAAGAAGGCCUUCGGGUUGUAAAGUACUUUCAGCGGGGAGGAAGGCGAUGAGGUUAAUACCUCAACGAUCGACGUACCGGAGAAGACGACCCCCGUA
rnacentral:rRNA from 1 species